AGCCCUUGACAUGGUCGGACGGUUUCCAGAGAUGGAUUCCUUCACUUCGGUGACUGACACACAGGUGCUGCAUGGCUGUCGUCAGCUCGUGUCGUGAGAUGUUGGGUUAAGUCCCGCAACGAGCGCAACCCUCGCCUUUAGUUGCCAUCAUUUAGUUGGGCACUCUAGAGGACUGCCGGUGAUAAGCCGGAGGAAGGUGGGGAUGACGUCAAGUCUUCAUCGGUCCCGUUACGGGCUCGGG
rnacentral:rRNA from 1 species